rnacentral:rRNA from 1 species
AGAGUUCGAUCCUGGCUCAGAAUGAACGUUGUCGGCGUGGAUUAGGCAUGCAAGUCGAGCGAGAAUCCUGCGAUUGAUCCUUCGGGUGAAGUCACAGGAGGACAGCGGCAAACGGGGUAGUUAGGCGCAGGUUACGUACCCUCUGGUCGGGGAUAGCCAUGGGAAACCGUGGGUAAUACUCGAUGAUCCGCCGCGUUGUAGUGACGUGGCGGCAAAGGUGAGAUUCCGCCGGAGGAGCGGUCUGCGUGGUAUUAGCUUGUUGGUGAGGUAAUGGCUCACCAAGGCGAAGAUGCCUAGGGGGUGUGAGAGCAUGGCCCCCACCACUGGGACUGAGACACUGCCCAGACACCUACGGGUGGCUGCAGUCGAGAAUCUUUGGCAAUGCACGCAAGUGUGACCAAGCGACGCCGAGUGCUGGAUGAAGGCCUUCGGGUUGUAAACAGCUGUCAGAGGGGAUGAAAUUGUUGGGGGCUAUCCCCCUUCAUUGACAAAGCCUCAGAGGAAGCGCGGGCUAAGUUCGUGCCAGCAGCCGCGGUAAUACGAACUGCGCGAACGUUAUUCGGAAUCACUGGGCUUAAAGGGUGCGUAGGCGGCCUGUUAAGUAGGGUGUGAAAUUUGUCGGCUCAACCGGCAAACUGCAUUCUAAACUGGCAGGCUUGAGUGAGUCAGGGGUGUGCGGAACUUCCGGUGGAGCGGUGAAAUGCGUUGAUAUCGGAAGGAACGCCGGUGGCGAAAGCGGCACACUGGGGCUUUUCUGACGCUGAGGCACGAAAGCUAGGGGAGCGAACAGGAUUAGAUACCCUGGUAGUCCUAGCUGUAAACGAUGAAUACUGGGUUGGGGGAGCAUGUCUCUCCCAGCCGUAGCGAAAGCGUUAAGUAUUCCGCCUGGGGAGUAUGGUCGCAAGGCUGAAACUCAAAGGAAUUGACGG